UUUAAACAAUGUGGGUGUGGUUGGGCAGCAUGCCGCCCCCUAAAAUCCUGCAGCCCUAGGCCCGGGCCUUGCUGGCCUUUCCACAAGUCCGGGCCUGAUUUGAACAAAACAAGACUUGUGUGAUUACUACACCCACCCUGAGGAAGCAGUCAAUGGAGACUGUGUAACGUGUUGGAUAUAGAAGCAGUUUGAUUUAUUUACCGAUCACAGACUCAGCUGGAGAAGCCUUCCUGGUCCCAGAGAGUUUCGGACUUUUAUUUUGCUUUGGGUACAACGUGCUUUAUGAUCUGGCUAUCCUUAUACCUACAAUGGUCGAUUUAUGGUUCCAGGAAUUCAUGCCUCUGCUUCCCAUCUACCAGAUUCAGUAAAUAACAGUAAUUUCAUUAAAACUCUGUCAAGUGAGUGGACGCAGCUGUUCCCCUUGAAAAGCAGUUUAUAUCCAGCUACUUAUCAGGAGUUCCAUGAAUUCUGAUUGACUGUCGCUACAUGGCAAAGGCAUUGGGCAGUUAGAGAGAAUGACUUUAAGUGUCCAGUUCUUAGAACAGAAAAACUGCAGGCUUAUAGGAAUCAUUCAGAGAAAUGAGGUAACAUACUAAUUCCAUUGUUUACUCAACUACAUUUCAGUCUGCUGCCCUGUUAUUAUUUGCUCCGUCUUCUCUGUUCCCAGAAUCUCUAGAUUUCUUUUGGGCAGACAGCAAAAAACAAUCAGAGCAAAUGCUAGCCUUAACACUUGUCAUGUACUGAUAAAAGACAACCAACCGCAUUGCUGUGGCAGUUCAAGGCUUUGUUUGUUCAGUUCUUCCCACCAGUAUUUCUCGUUUAUUUACAAAAUAAAAAAGU